GACGAACGCUGGCGGCGUGCCUAAUACAUGCAAGUCGAACGCAGUGGGGACGGGUGAGUAACACGUGGGUAACCUCCCAUCAGAGGGGAUAACACUUGGAAACAGGUGCUAAACCGAUACUGAUGGAUGGACCCGCGGUGCAUUAGCUAGUUGGUGGGGUAACGGCUCACCAAGGCCACGAUGCAUAACGGACCGGAGGGGGGUGUCGGCCACACUGGGACGGAGACACGGCCCAGACUCUUACGGGAGACAGCAGUAGGUAAUCUUCGGCAAUGGACGAAAGUCGAACCGAGCAACGCCGCGUGAGUGAAGAAGGUUUUCGGAUCGUAAAACUCUGUUGUUAGAGAAGCGGUAUCUAAACAGAAAGCCACGGCUAACUACGUGCCAGCAGCCGCGGUAAUUC
rnacentral:rRNA from 1 species